rnacentral:rRNA from 1 species
GAGACUCUGUGCGCGUGCAUAUCAAUAAGCGGAGGAAAAGAAACUAACAAGGAUUCCCUUAGUAACGGCGAGUGAAGCGGGAAGAGCUCAAAUUUGAAAUCUUCAAGGUUCUACCUUGACGAAUUGUAGUUUAAAGAAGUGUUUUCUGUUAGAUGAGUAGCAAAAGUUCCUUGGAAUGGGACAUCAUAGAGGGUGAGAAUCCCGUAUUUGGUUAUUCAUUCUAGCUUUGUGAUACACUUUCAAAGAGUCGGAUUGUUUGGGAAUGCAGUCCAAAAUGGGUGGUAAAUUUCAUCUAAAGCUAAAUAUUGGCGAGAGACCGAUAGCGAACAAGUACCGUGAGGGAAAGAUGAAAAGAACUUUGAAAAGAGAGUUAAACAGUACGUGAAAUUGUCAAAAGGGAAGCGUUUGACACCAGUGUUGUUUUUCCGAAAAUCAAUUACGAAUGGCUUGAUUUUGUGUUGUAUUGACCUUAUCAGCUCUCUUCACUUUUUUCGAGUCUUUCUUAAUGCACUUUUCGGUUAACAAGUCAACAUCAAUUUCUUUUGUUGUAAAAGAGUAUUCGGAAGGUGGCUUUCUUUUCGGAGAAAGUGUUUAUAGCCCUAUACUUCUACAAUCGGAGAGAUUGAGGUCUGCAGCGUAGAUCCUUCGGGGUUAGAUACACUUGUGCUAAGUUGUAGCUUUUCAUAGACAACUUGUUGACUAUAUUUAGUCAUGCGGCUUACUCGCUUGUGCUAUUUUACCUACGCUUAGGAUGUUGACUGAUAUGUAGUCGU